AUCAUGCUAUCCCUUUGGAUU
rnacentral:miRNA from 6 species